rnacentral:lncRNA from 1 species
GCCAAGGCUCUGUGGGAGGAUGAAGGAGUGCGUGCCUGCUACGAACGCUCCAACGAGUACCAGCUGAUUGACUGUGCCCAGUACUUCCUGGACAAGAUCGACGUGAUCAAGCAGGCUGACUAUGUGCCGAGCGAUCAGGACCUGCUUCGCUGCCGUGUCCUGACUUCUGGAAUCUUUGAGACCAAGUUCCAGGUGGACAAAGUCAACUUCCACAUGUUUGACGUGGGUGGCCAGCGCGAUGAACGCCGCAAGUGGAUCCAGUGCUUCAACGAUGUGACUGCCAUCAUCUUCGUGGUGGCCAGCAGCAGCUACAACAUGGUCAUCCGGGAGGACAACCAGACCAACCGCCUGCAGGAGGCUCUGAACCUCUUCAAGAGCAUCUGGAACAACAGAUGGCUGCGCACCAUCUCUGUGAUCCUGUUCCUCAACAAGCAAGAUCUGCUCGCUGAGAAAGUCCUUGCUGGGAAAUCGAAGAUUGAGGACUACUUUCCAGAAUUUGCUCGCUACACUACUCCUGAGGAUGGACCCACGCGUGACCCGGGCCAAGUACUUCAUUCGAGAUGAGUUUCUGAGGAUCAGCACUGCCAGUGGAGAUGGGCGUCACUACUGCUACCCUCAUUUCACCUGCGCUGUGGACACUGAGAACAUCCGCCGUGUGUUCAACGACUGCCGUGACAUCAUUCAGCGCAUGCACCUUCGUCAGUACGAGCUGCUCUAAGAAGGGAACCCCCAAAUUUAAUUAAAGCCUUAAGCACAAUUAAUUAAAAGUGAAACGUAAUUGUACAAGCAGUUAAUCACCCACCAUAGGGCAUGAUUAACAAAGCAACCUUUCCCUUCCCCCGAGUGAUUUUGCGAAACCCCCUUUUCCCUUCAGCUUGCUUAGAUGUUCCAAAUUUAGAAAGCUUAA